rnacentral:rRNA from 1 species
GAUGAACGCUGGCGGCGUGCUUAACACAUGCAAGUCGAACGGGAAUUAUUUUAUUGAAACUUCGGUCGAUUUAAUUUAAUUCUAGUGGCGGACGGGUGAGUAACGCGUGGGUAACCUGCCUUAUGCAGGGGGAUAACAGUCAGAAAUGGCUGCUAAUACCGCAUAAGCGCACAGAGCUGCAUGGCUCAGUGUGAAAAACUCCGGUGGUAUAAGAUGGACCCGCGUUGGAUUAGCUGGUUGGUGGGGUAACGGCCCACCAAGGCGACGAUCCAUAGCCGGCCUGAGAGGGUGAACGGCCACAUUGGGACUGAGACACGGCCCAGACUCCUACGGGAGGCGGCAGUGGGGAAUAUUGCACAAUGGGGGAAACCCUGAUGCAGCGACGCCGCGUGAAGGAAGAAGUAUCUCGGUAUGUAAACUUCUAUCAGCAGGGAAGAUAGUGACGGUACCUGACUAAGAAGCCCCGGCUAACUACGUG